rnacentral:lncRNA from 1 species
CUUUACUGAAGUUGUUCCCUGAUGUUAUGAUAAAAAAGAAAGGGCCUGAGUCUAUGUAGUUGUAGUCUGGUGCCUGCUUUCAAAUGUUUAUUCUUAAAAAACCAAACAUACACCUGAUCCAAAAUGUUAUCAGCAGUUUUCUUUUAAAAGAAUACUUAAUUAGUUGUACCUUCUAGUUUAUUGCUGUUCCUGCAUAUGUGUGAUGCAGGACGCUAAUUCUGAUUGUUCUCUAAGAAUCCUAUACAGAAAUAUGGAUGAAGAUACUCAGAAGACACUACAUGUAACACUGCCAGCAGAAGAGUCCAGAAAUGGAUCUGUAAGCUACCUCCUUCAACUGACAAUGACUGUGCGACACUUGGACUCCCAGGAAAAGCCAUCUAGCACAGAUGGGGACAAAGAAAGGAAAAUAAAUGCUACAGUCAGGCUUAUAAAUCUCUUCUGAGACAGGUUUAUAUUUCCAUGAAGAACAGUCAUCUUCCAGUACAAGCAUGCUCAAAAGCCUGUUUACGUAAUUGCUGAGAAGUAGGACAACUGCUGAAACCUCUACCCCACUCUAUCCCACAGAGUUAACCAGCCCCAACUAUGCGUACAUAGUUGCUCUCUAUUGGCCUAGCAGUGGGUAUGAAUUGUGUGUGUUUGACCAUCUUGGGGCCUGUUAAAAUAGAACCCAUUAUUUGAAAUAAAGACAGAGGAGAGGAAUUGACA